CAAUAGCCCCGAUAGUAGUGGAAAUCCUUUUUGGGCUGGUGUUCAGCACAAAAAGAUUGCAGCGGAUAGCGGGACGAUGU
rnacentral:sRNA from 1 species